rnacentral:rRNA from 1 species
AGAGUUUGAUCCUGGCUCAGGACGAACGCUGGCGGCAUGCCUAAUACAUGCAAGUCGAACGCUGAAGCACUCUGCUUGCAGAGUGCGGAUGAGUGGCGAACGGGUGAGUAACACGUGGGAAAUCUGCCUAGGAGUGGGGGAUAACAUUCGGAAACGGAUGCUAAUACCGCAUAUCUUUUUGAACCGCAUGGUUCUUAAACGAAAGACGGCUUCGGCUGUCGCUCUUAGAUGAUCCCGCGGCGUAUUAGUUAGUUGGUGGGGUAAAGGCCUACCAAGACCAUGAUACGUAGCCGACCUGAGAGGGUGAUCGGCCACACUGGGACUGAGACACGGCCCAGACUCCUACGGGAGGCAGCAGUAGGGAAUCUUCCACAAUGGGUGAAAACCUGAUGGAGCAAUGCCGCGUGAAUGAAGAAGGUCUUCGGAUCGUAAAGUUCUGUUAUUAGAGAAGAACAAGUCAAGGAGUAACUGUCUUGACUUUGACGGUACCUAACCAGAAAGUCACGGCUAACUACGUGCCAGCAGCCGCGGUAAUACGUAGGUGACAAGCGUUGUCCGGAAUUAUUGGGCGUAAAGGGAGCGCAGGCGGUUGGAAUAGUCUGAUGUGAAAGCCCACGGCUUAACCGUGGAAGGUCAUUGGAAACUGUCCAACUUGAAUACAGAAGAGGUAAGUGGAAUUCCAAGUGUAGCGGUGAAAUGCGUAGAUAUUUGGAGGAACACCAGUGGCGAAGGCGACUUACUGGUCUGUAAUUGACGCUGAGGCUCGAAAGCGUGGGUAGCAAACAGGAUUAGAUACCCUGGUAGUCC